rnacentral:rRNA from 1 species
CCUACGGGCGGCUGCAGUGGGGAAUUUUGGACAAUGGGGGCAACCCUGAUCCAGCCAUGCCGCGUGCGGGAAGAAGGCCUUCGGGUUGUAAACCGCUUUUGUCAGGAGAGAAAUCUCUUGGGCUAAUACCCUGAGAGGAUGACGGUACCUGAAGAAUAAGCACCGGCUAACUACGUGCCAGCAGCCGCGGUGAUACGUAGGGUGAAAGCGUUAAUCGGAGUGACUGGGCGUGGUUGUUGAAGAGGCGGGUGAAAUCCCCGGGCUUAACCUGGGAACUGCACUUGUGACUGCACGGCUAGAGUACGGCAGAGGGGGAUGGAAUUCCGCGUGUAGCAGUGAAAUGCGUAGAGAUGCGGAGGAACACCGAUGGCGAAGGCAGUCCCCUGGGCCUGUACUGACGCUCAUGCACGAAAGCGUGGGGAGCAAACAGGAUUAGAUACCCCUGUAGUC